CCCAACAGAGCAAUCCGGCCCAAGACCCUUUAAUCUUUAUCUCUUUAUCUGGUUGUUAUCCAUAACCUCUGCCAUAUCAACGCAAACAGCAACAACUUCAACAAACAACAGCUUCCUCACCCCAAAAAUUCACGAACAGUAAUAUAAAUCGUCCAAGUCAAAGACAGAUCUUAUCCCUGCGAAAUCCCCUCGAAUCUGCUGAGAUACAAUCUUCAAAAUCUCUUCACAUCUGAUAUCUUAAGCCUUCAUUGUUGACUUUAGGCUUAUUGUUGCCCAAAAUUCAAUCUUAUGACAAAAUCAUCAAUCAAGUUCGGAUUAUGGAGAUAUGUUUUAUCUCAUCUCAUUUCAGCCUAUGUCAAAUCUGAAAAGGGGUUAAAUUUGAAAUUCAAAUUGAUUGUUUUUUUACUAUAAAUAGCCGAACUUCCACCCUUUGAGAGGGAGCUUUUUUUUUAAGGUCUAAAAUUGAAAGAAAGAGUGAAAACUAGUGAAGAAAGAAGAAUCAUCAGAAAAGCCAUUGAGUCAGUAUCAAAAUAUCAUCUAGUUCCCAGUACUUUCCUCCUUGUUUUCUUACUUUCUUUCCAAAAUCGAAGUUCGAGUUCGUGUUUGGAUCUCCAACGGAAAGCCCUCUAGUUCGCUGCCCUCCACCAGUGGCAGGAAAAUAUUAACCAAGUUGCAGAGAUUUUGUUUGUCGAGGUAAGCUAUAGACAUCUUUAUAUGACAACAUGCUCCUCUGAAAGUUUUACUGUCCAGUGAAGGCCUUUUGCGCCCUAUUUGUCAUUUUGUAGAGUGAGUUUUAAAGGGGUAAGUGAGCUGCCCCGUCUUGUUCUGUUCAUUACCUAUUCUAUCUCGUUUUAUACCAAGUGGGUUAUACGCAAGUAAGUAUGUAAUGUAUGUAGUUACUUGAGAAUAUGGGUCAAAACAUUUUACUCUCUUGCUUACAGAUUAUAGAAAAUAGGCGCGCAAGAAGUAUCUUCUGCUUAUUGAUAUGGAGAUUUUUUUGGGGUGCUUUAAAUUACUUGUCCUUUUUUUUUUUUUUGAGCUUUCCGAAUCUGUCUACUGAGUUCCAGAGGAGAAUCUGCCGCACUGGUAAUGUAUUGUUGGGUUGUAUUGAUGAUUAUUAAAUCAAUUAGCCAAGGAUAUUAAAAUGCAUGUUAUGUGUUACCCUUUGUAGAUCAUGUGUUUUUCUUGUCUAUGCUUUUAUUAAUUGUGACGCAAUAACAAAAGAUAUAUACCCAUGGAACAAAGUUUAUACUUAAGCGUAUUCUUCUCUGUUGAGGCAAUUUUAUAUAGCUAUGAACACCUUGGCUGGCUUCAUGUCAAAUUUGAUGUAGUUGGUAGUUUGCUUUCAGCUUAUGAUUAGUUAAUAUGAGAUACUUCAUGUCUUUGUUUAAUUUCUCUUUUGAAUGUGUUCAGAAUCUUUUCUUUUCCAUAUCCUGUUAGAAAAAAAAAAACAAUAAAUAUGUGACUAAAUAGCAACGAUUUAGGAAUUUUCAGCCAAAUCGGUUUAAGAUUAAUCGCCUAUGAUUGAAGCAGUGUAUUAUUUGUCUUAAAGUAUUGGUUAGACUUCCUCUACGUGUUUAUUUUUACCAUGUUCUUUAUCAAAUAAAAAAAAUCCACUUUGGUAUGUUGUGUGUCUCAAGUAAAAAGGUUAUUUUAAUCGUUAGAGAAACUUGUGAUCGUGAUAUAAACCAACCAUGUUUCCCGUCUAAAUAAAUGAUUCUUUGCAGAUAAAGAUACUUGUUGCAGACACCAUAUUUAUAGAUUUAUCUUCUUGACUGAAGUUGUUAAAUUGAAACCUUAUUUAGCAUGCUACAUCUAGGCUUUCGGCGGAAAGUGUUUUUCCUCUUUUUCCUUGUACUAUAGCUUUAUUAUCGUAUCUUUUCUUAGAAUUUAUAGUCACAUAUAGAAGUUAACAUGACAUGAAAGAUCCUUUGGUGCUAAUAUAGUAUUUCAUAAAGAGUAGUUUCGGUUCCUUUCUGUUUCUGUGCAUAUUCAUUCUAUAGUUUUUAUUUCUUCUAUUCUUUUAAGAAGUUCACAUCAUAUUCCUCUCAAGUGAAGAAUAAUUUUCUCAUUUCUAAUCCUUAUCUUUUUCUGUAUCAUGUGAACUCGGAAGCGUGUUUGGAGUCUCAUGGCUUGACUCCAUCUCUGUCCAAAUCAGAGAAGCGACAAUAGGCUAUUACGUGCUUCGUCUAAACAGGCUAUGUUGUUUAAAUAGAUUUACAUUUACCUAAGUUAUCCGCACUUAUCCGCACCCCCCUACAAUUGGUAUCAAAGUCAAUGUUGUUUAAAGUUAUAGAAGUAGUAUAUAUUUGAACUUA